rnacentral:tmRNA from 1 species
GGGGAUGAUCGGUUUCGACGUGUGUUGUUUCCUCAAGGGAAGCGGGCCGAGGAUGUUGGGUUAUCUCGUAAACGAUCCCAGCAAACCAAUAGGUGCCGAUUCUAAGCGCACCGACUUCGCCCUCGCUGCUUAAGCGAGCGCAAUGAAGUCCGUCAGCCCAGGGUAGUUCCCGACCUGGUCCCUGACGUCAUCUAGGGAACUUGCUGAGCUUCUUCGUCAUCGGGGAGCUCGGGACUUUUAGGUGACUGGGCCUAUCUCACUGUUUGCCUAAGGGCUGUGAGGGGCCGAGAAACAGAUACUUAGGCUGCGCCCGGAGAAGACUUGACGUUGGGCAUGCGGACGCGGGUUCGAUUCCCGCCAUCUCCACUC